rnacentral:rRNA from 1 species
AUUGAACGCUGGCGGCAGGCCUAACACAUGCAAGUCGAGCGGCAGCGGGAAAGUAGCUUGCUACUUUUGCCGGCGAGCGGCGGACGGGUGAGUAAUGCCUGGGAAAUUGCCCAGUCGAGGGGGAUAACAGUUGGAAACGACUGCUAAUACCGCAUACGCCCUACGGGGGAAAGCAGGGGACCUUCGGGCCUUGCGCGAUUGGAUAUGCCCAGGUGGGAUUAGCUAGUUGGUGAGGUAAAGGCUCACCAAGGCGACGAUUCCUAGCUGGUCUGAGAGGAUGAUCAGCCACACUGGAACUGAGACACGGUCCAGACUCCUACGGGAGGCAGCAGUGGGGAAUAUUGCACAAUGGGGGAAACCCUGAUGCAGCCAUGCCGCGUGUGUGAAGAAGGCCUUCGGGUUGUAAAGCACUUUCAGCGAGGAGGAAAGGUUGAUGCCUAAUACGUAUCAACUGUGACGUUACUCGCAGAAGAAGCACCGGCUAACUCCGUGCCAGCCGCCGCAGUAAAAC